AAGCGGUGGAGCAUGUGGUUAAUUCGAAGCAACGCGAAGAACUUACCAGGUCUUGACAUCCCCUGACAACCCGAGAGAUCGGCGUUCCCCUCGGGAGCUUGCACAGGUGCUGCAUGGCUGUCGUCAGCUCGUGUCGUGAGAUGUUCGGUUAAGUCCGCUAACGAGCGCAACCCUCGCUGUGUGUUACAAGUGUCACACGGUACUGCCGGUCUUAAGCCGGAGGAAGGUGGGGAUGACGUCAAGUCAGCAUGGCCUCUAUGUCCUGGGCUACACACACGCUACAAUGGCCAACACAAUAGGUUGCUAAGCCGCGAGGUGGAGCCAAUCCUCAAAGUUGGUCUCAGUUCAGAUUGCAGGCUGCAACCCGCCUGCAUGAAGAUGGAGUUGCUAGUAACCGCAGGUCAGCUAUACUGCGGUGAAUACGUUCCCGGGGCUU
rnacentral:rRNA from 1 species